CAGCCGCCACGGUAAUACAGAGGGUGCGAGCGUUAAUCGGAUUUACUGGGCGUAAAGCGUGCGUAGUCGGCUUUUUAAGUCGGAUGUGAAAUCCCUGAGCUUAACUUAGGAAUUGCAUUCGAUACUGGGAAGCUAGAGUAUGGGAGAGGAUGGUAGAAUUCCAGGUGUAGCGGUGAAAUGCGUAGAGAUCUGGAGGAAUACCGAUGGCGAAGGCAGCCAUCUGGCCUAAUACUGACGCUGAGGUACGAAAGCAUGGGGAGCAAACAGGAUUAGAUACCCCCGUAGUCCCUGUCUCUUAUAA
rnacentral:rRNA from 1 species